rnacentral:rRNA from 1 species
UGGGGAAUAUUGGACAAUGGGCGAAAGCCUGAUCCAGCCAUGCCGCGUGUGUGAAGAAGGUCUUCGGAUUGUAAAGCACUUUAAGUUGGGAGGAAGGGCAUUAACCUAAUACGUUAGUGUUUUGACGUUACCGACAGAAUAAGCACCGGCUAACUCUGUGCCAGCAGCCGCGGUAAUACAGAGGGUGCAAGCGUUAAUCGGAAUUACUGGGCGUAAAGCGCGCGUAGGUGGUUUGUUAAGUUGGAUGUGAAAUCCCCGGGCUCAAGCUGGGAACUGCAUUCAAAACUGAGUGACUAGAGUAUGGUAGAGGGUGGUGGAAUUUCCUGUGUAGCGGUGAAAUGCGUAGAUAUAGGAAGGAACACCAGUGGCGAAGGCGACCACCUGGACUAAUACUGACACUGAGGUGCGAAAGCGUGGGGAGCAAACA